AUGAACAUGAACCGGUGCUCGAGCUCUUCGAUGUCUUUGUCGCAGACCCGCCUAGAUCCGAUGGAUUUGGCGGGUUUGACGACGAAGGCAUCAGGAGCUCUUGCUGAGAUUAUACGGUCGAACUUGAUCAGGAUAAUACCUGCGUCGAAGAAUCAUGCCCCAUCUCCCC
rnacentral:ncRNA from 19 species